rnacentral:ribozyme from 12 species
ACAGAGUUUAAGAAUGAAAUGUACGUUGUAAGAAAGAGAGAAGAAAAAGUGACUACUUCUUCUUGUUUCCCUUCUUCUUUUUGUUGUUCUUCUUCUUCUUCUUUGU